rnacentral:lncRNA from 1 species
AGUUGUUCAGGGCAGGGUGGUGGUGAGGAUUACUUUCUUCAUAUCUACACUCAUUCAGCCUGCCAUCAACAAACAUUUAUUGAGUCACUAUAGUGUGUAAAGGUACUAUAAAGAUAGGAGGAUCACAGCAUUACACACAACGAAACUGGGGUACACAGGGACCGACGGUAAGUUUAUUUCCGGUUUCACUUAUUUAAGAUUUGCAAAGGUGUGUUGUAUAUUUGAAAAAUGUAGUAAACAUUGUGUAGUAGUGCUUAACUCUAUUAACUGGAUCUUAACUAGGACUAACUAGGAUUUCAUCUAAAAGUCUCUUGCAGGCCGAGUAUGGUGGCUCAUGCCUAUAAUUCCAGCACUUUGGGAGGCCAACACUGGUGGGGUCACUUGAGCCUAGGAGUUUGUGACCAGCCUGGGCAGCCUGACAAAACCCUGUGUCUACUAAAAAUACAAAAAUUAGCUGGGCAUGGUGGUGCACACCUGUAGUCCCAGCUACUCAGGAGGCUGAGGUGGGAAGAUUGCUUGAGACUGGGAGGUGGAGGUUGCAGUGAGCCGAGAUGGCAUCACUGCACUUCAGCCUAAAUCACACGAUUAGACUCUGUCUUAAAAAAAAAAAAAUGCCUCCUGCAUAUUGCCAUAAUGUCUUGCUCCUAGACAGGGCUCAUUAAAUAUCGGUAGAUGAAGGACUUAAUAGCUGUUUCAGAUGCUUCAGGAAUUAGCAAACAUCUGUAACUCUUGCUGAGCUAAAUCGGAGUAUUAUAUAGAAAAAUACAUAGUAGCAUUAUAAUUAUAGUGGUAUUAUGUUAUCCUAAAAUCAUAAAUUUAAGAGGCAUCCAAACACAUGUUCUUCCUGAGAAACUAAUUCUGCCUAUUUCCCCUGCUUACCUGCAAGACUACAGACUAUAAUUUUUGAAAAUAGAUCCGUAUAAAUCUUUCUGCAACUAUUUAUGUAAAUGCUUUAUUUUCCAGUAAUCUCAGAGAACUGACUUUCUGUACCCUGCUAAUCUCCUUCUCUCAAAACAAAACAAACAAAAAGAAAACAUACUGCAGGAAACUGAGCAUCCUCUAUGAUCUAAUCAAGCAACACAGAAAUAUUGACAUUCCACAAGCACUGACAAUUAUUUUUUAGGCCUAAAAGACAAGAGUAAGUGUAAUUAUGUUGCCAGUUUAAGAUCUACCUUGGAAAAAUACAAACUACACCAUCAAGAACUCUGUAUUGUGCCUGUAAUCCUAGCACUUUGGGAGGUUGAGGAGGGUGGAUCACUUGAGCUCAAGUGUUCGAGACCAGCCUAUCCAAUAUGGUGGAACCCCAUGCCCACUAAAAAUACAAAAAUUAGCCAGGUGUGAUAGUGGGCACCUGUAAUCCUAGCUACUCAGGGAGGCUGAGCAGAAGAAUUGCUUUAACCUAGGAAGCAGAGGUUACAGUGAGCUGAGAUCAUACUAGGCAACAGAGUGAGACUCCAUCUCAAAAAAAUAAAAAAUAAAAAAA